UCAUAGGACUAAGUCCCCACUGGAAGACAGAAGAAGCACUGCUGUACCAAAGCAACAAUAACACUUGUGGCGUGUUCAUGAUUCUCCACAGAAGAAGAAGUCUUAAUGUAUUCUCGGUCGACCUUCGUGUGAAAAAUUCUUCCGUACGUGAAGGCCCGAGCGUGGACUGCAUUGCAAAGUUUAAUCAAACUAGAAGAGGGAUGAAAGGCUACGAGCUAUAUACUCCAGAUUGUCAGCAGAAGGUGGAAAACUACCAUGACGUAUUUUCCUCCGUGCUAAAACAAACGUCUUUUUAGUGAGCUGCGGUGUUUCCUGCUUCGACAGAGAUUAAAUAAUAUUCUGCAGAC